UGGCGGACGGGUGAGUAACGCGUGGGUAACCUGCCUCACACUGGGGGACAACAGUUAGAAAUGACUGCUAAUACCGCAUAAGCGCACAGGACCGCAUGGUCUAGUGUGAAAAACUCCGGUGGUGUGAGAUGGACCCGCGUUUGAUUAGCUAGUUGGUGGGGUAACGGCCUACCAAGGUGACGAUCAAUAGCCGACCUGAGAGGGUGACCGGCCACAUUGGGACUGAGACACGGCCCAA
rnacentral:rRNA from 1 species